rnacentral:rRNA from 1 species
AACGAACGCUGGCGGCAUGCCUAACACAUGCAAGUCGAACGAGACCUUCGGGUCUAGUGGCGCACGGGUGCGUAACGCGUGGGAAUCUGCCCUUGGGUUCGGAAUAACAGUUAGAAAUGACUGCUAAUACCGGAUGAUGUCUUCGGACCAAAGAUUUAUCGCCCAGGGAUGAGCCCGCGUCGGAUUAGCUAGUUGGUGAGGUAAAAGCUCACCAAGGCGACGAUCCGCAGCUGGUCUGAGAGGAUGAUCAGCCACACUGGGACUGAGACACGGCCCAGACUCCUACGGGAGGCAGCAGUGGGGAAUAUUGGACAAUGGGCGAAAGCCUGAUCCAGCAAUGCCGCGUGAGUGAUGAAGGCCUUAGGGUUGUAAAGCUCUUUUACCCGGGAUGAUAAUGACAGUACCGGGAGAAUAAGCCCCGGCUAACUCCGUGCCAGCCGCCGCGGUAACAC